rnacentral:rRNA from 1 species
UGGCCAGACUCCUACGGGAGGCAGCAGUGGGGAAUAUUGCACAAUGGGGGAAACCCUGAUGCAGCGACGCCGCGUGAGUGAAGAAGUAUUUCGGUAUGUAAAGCUCUAUCAGCAGGGAAGAUAAUGACGGUACCUGACUAAGAAGCCCCGGCUAACUACGUGCCAGCAGCCGCGGUAAUACGUAUGGUGCAAGCGUUAUCCGGAUUUACUGGGUGUAAAGGGAGCGUAGGCGGCGCGUUAAGUCUGAUGUGAAAACCCGAGGCUCAACCACGGGAGUGCAUUGGAAACUGGCGGGCUGGAGUGCCGGAGAGGUAAGCGGAAUUCCUAGUGUAGCGGUGAAAUGCGUAGAUAUCAGGAAGAACACCGGUGGCGUAGGCGGCUUACUGGACGGCAACUGACGCUGAGGCUCGAAAGCGUGGGGAGCAAACAGGAUUAGAUACCCUGGUAC